UACGAAGGGGGCUAGCGUUGCUCGGAAUCACUGGGCGUAAAGCGCACGUAGGCGGACUCUUAAGUCGGGGGUGAAAUCCUGGAGCUCAACUCCAGAACUGCCUUCGAUACUGGGAGUCUUCGAGUUCGGGAGAGGUGAGUGGAACUGCGAGUGUAGAGGUGGAAUUCGUAGAUAUUAGGAAGAACACCAAUUGCGAAGGCAGCUCACUACCCAGAUAUUGACACUGAGGCACGAAAGCGUGGGGAUCAAACAGG
rnacentral:rRNA from 1 species